rnacentral:rRNA from 1 species
GACGAACGCUGGCGGCGUGCUUAACACAUGCAAGUCGAACGGAAAGGCCCUGCUUUUGUGGGGUGCUCGAGUGGCGAACGGGUGAGUAACACGUGAGUAACCUGCCCUUGACUUUGGGAUAACUUCAGGAAACUGGGGCGAAUACCGGAUAGGAGCUCCUGCUGCAUGGUGGGGGUUGGAAAGUUUCGGCGGUUGGGGAUGGACUCGCGGCUUAUCAGCUUGUUGGUGGGGUAGUGGCUUACCAAGGCUUUGACGGGUAGCCGGCCUGGGAGGGUGACCGGCCACAUUGGGACUGAGAUACGGACCAGAAUCGUACGGGAGGCAGCAGUGGGGAAUAUUGCACAAUGGGCGGAAGCCUGAGGCAGCAACGCCGCGUGCGGGAUGACGGCCUUCGGGUUGUAAACCGCUUUCGCAUGUGACGAAGCGUGAGUGACGGUAAUGGGUAAAGAAGCACCGGCUAACUACGUG